AAAGUUACACAAGAAGAAUUGGCCCUUGACCAGCCUGAUUGGUUGCAGGAGGGGACCAAUCAGAGGUACCUCCCAUUUUUCAUCUGCAGCCCAAUGCAAAGUAAUGACAUGGAUCUGGAGAGAUUCUCUUAGGAGAGAAUCUGGCUAAGUGUCUAGCAGGAUGAUUGAUUAACAAGAUGUUUUGUUUUCAUCAUCUCAGAGAUAACUGUAUUGAGGUAUAAUUGAUAUGCCAAAUAACUGGACACAUUCAACUUGUGCAAUUUGAUGAGUUUGGAGAUACACAUACAUCUGUGAAACCAUCACCAAAAUCAAGAACAACUUUCUCUGAUCUCUGUGGACAUGCUUAAAAUGGCUGACUCACACAGCAAGACUAUUUAACUGUGCCUAAAAUCAACCCACAUUCAGAUGCUAACUGUAAUCCUAUUCCCUGAUCCAUCAGGAAAAAGAGUCUGAUUGACAUAACUUGUCAAGUGUUCGCCCCAGCUUCUAUCAACUAUGGGGAAGGAAGGGCCAGAAGAGGUGUAACCAUCAUGGCUACCAGGUUUCGAAAUAUUUACAUUACAUACUGCAUUUAUUAAAAUACAAAUUAAAUCUGCAAUAAAAAACUAAUUGACCAUUCUCUGGGA
rnacentral:lncRNA from 1 species